CCUACGGGAGGCAGCAGUGGGGAAUAUUGGGCAAUGGGCGCAAGCCUGACCCAGCAACGCCGCGUGAAGGAAGAAGGCUUUCGGGUUGUAAACUUCUUUUGUCAGGGAAGAGUAGAAGACGGUACCUGACGAAUAAGCCACGGCUAACUACGUGCCAGCAGCCGCGGUAAUACGUAGGUGGCAAGCGUUGUCCGGAUUUACUGGGUGUACAUGGCGUGUAGCCGGGUUGGCAAUUCAGAUGUGAAAUCCUGCGGCUUAACCGCAGAACUGCAUUUGAAACUGUUGAUCUUGAGUACUGGAGAGGCAGACGGAAUUCCUGGUGUAGCGGUGAAAUGCGUAGAUAUUAGGAGGAACACCAGUGGCGAAGGCGGUCUGCUGGACAGCAACUGACGGUGAGGCGCGAAAGCGUGGGGAGCAAACAGGAUUAGAUACCCGUGUAGUC
rnacentral:rRNA from 1 species